rnacentral:rRNA from 1 species
GGAUGGCGACCGGCGCACGGGUGAGUAACACGUAUCCAACCUGCCGCUUACUCGGGGAUAGCCUUUCGAAAGAAAGAUUAAUACCCGAUGGUAUAAAGAGUUCGCAUGUUCUCUUUAUUAAAGAAUUUCGGUAAGCGAUGGGGAUGCGUUCCAUUAGAUAGUUGGCGGGGUAACGGCCCACCAAGUCUACGAUGGAUAGGGGUUCUGAGAGGAAGGUCCCCCACAUUGGAACUGAGACACGGUCCAAACUCCUACGGGAGGCAGCAGUGAGGAAUAUUGGUCAAUGGACGAGAGUCUGAACCAGCCAAAGUAGCGUGAAGGAUGACUGCCCUAUGGGUUGUAAACUUCUUUUAUAAGGGAAUAAAGUGAGGGACGUGUCCCUUUUUGUAUGUACCUUAUGAAUAAGGAUCGGCUAACUCCGUGCCAGCCGCCGC